rnacentral:rRNA from 1 species
CAGCCGCCACGGGAAAACGAAGGGUGCAAGCGUUAAUCGGAAUUACUGGGCGUAAAGCGCGCGUAGGUGGUUUGGUAAGAUGGAUGUGAAAUCCCUGGGCUCAACCUGGGAACUGCAUCCAUAACUGCCUGACUAGAGUACGGUAGAGGGUGGUGGAAUUUCCUGUGUAGCGGUGAAAUGCGUAGAUAUAGGAAGGAACACCAGUGGCGAAGGCGACCACCUGGACUGAUACUGACACUGAGGUGCGAAAGCGUGGGGAGCAAACAGGAUUAGAUACCCCCGUAGUCCCUGUCUCUUAUAC